CCUACGGGAGGCAGCAGUGGGGAAUAUUGGGCAAUGGGCGAAAGCCUGACCCAGCGACGCCGCGUGAGGGACGAAGGCCUUCGGGUUGUAAACCUCUUUCAGCAGGGAAGAAGCGAAAGUGACGGUACCUGCAGAAGAAGCACCGGCUAACUACGUGCCAGCAGCCGCGGUAAUACGUAGGGUGCAAGCGUUGUCCGGAAUUAUUGGGCGUAAAGAGCUCGUAGGUGGUUUGCCACGUCGGAUGUGAAAACCUGAGGCUUAACCUCAGGCCUGCAUUCGAUACGGGCAGACUAGAGUGUGGUAGGGGAGACUGGAAUUCCUGGUGUAGCGGUGAAAUGCGCAGAUAUCAGGAGGAACACCGGUGGCGAAGGCGGGUCUCUGGGCCAUAACUGACACUGAGGAGCGAAAGCGUGGGGAGCAAACAGGAUUAGAUACCCUGGUAGUCCACGCCGUAAACGGUGGGCACUAGAUGUGGGGACCUUCCACGGUCUCUGCGUCGCNGCUACGCAUAGUGCCCGCCGUCGGGAGGUACGGCCGGCGACGGACGUAAACCGUACGAAAGGAAGUUAAGUACGGCGUUGAGACGUUGCCGAACGGCGACGACGAGGGAGGAGG
rnacentral:rRNA from 1 species